rnacentral:rRNA from 1 species
GGGGAAUCUUCCGCAAUGGACGCAAGUCUGACGGAGCAACGCCGCGUGUAUGAAGAAGGCCUUCGGGUUGUAAAGUACUGUUGUUAGGGAAGAACCGGUUAUGUGAGAAUAUUGCAUAGCCCUGACGGUACCUAACGAGGAAGCCCCGGCUAACUACGUGCCAGCAGCCGCGGUAAUACGUAGGGGGCGAGCGUUGUCCGGAAUUAUUGGGCGUAAAGGGCGCGUAGGCGGCUGAUCAAGUCUGAUGUGAAAGUGCGGGGCUUAACCCCGUAAAGCAUUGGAAACUGGUUGGCUUGAGGGCGGGAGAGGAAAGUGGAAUUCCUAGUGUAGCGGUGAAAUGCGUAGAGAUUAGGAGGAACACCAGUGGCGAAGGCGACUUUCUGGACUGCACCUGACGCUGAGGCGCGAAAGCGUGGGUAGCGAAC